AAUCGGCUAUCCUUGCUCUUCGUUUUUCAGCGUCAAAGUUGCCCCAAAAAUGAUGAACAAAUCCUAAUCCAGGCAAAAGGUCUCGAAACCGGUCCGCUCGCCCUUCCUUGUUCCCCACGCUGUGGUGUUUCAAAGGUUUGUGUCAUCCCUGCUGCGCCAAAUGAUGGUUUACGAAGCAUUGGACCGAAAAAGGUUAAACCUGACCUCAAUAAUCGGCUUGCUGCUCGAUUGGGGUCCAAUGACGAGGCUUUACGUGGUUCCAUUAGAAAGCACCAUCUCCAAAACAAUCUCUUCGCCGUGGCGCCGCCGGUUUAGACAUAUUUGCAAUCAACAACAACAUUAGAGGAGAUGAGGGUGAAAAGGAGAGAUGCAGAAUAGCGGAUGUCUCAUAGACUCCUCCCUGACAGCCUUAGGCAGCAAAUCAGACAAUAUGAGCAGUACAAAUGGCAAGAAACCAGAGGUGUUGAUGAGGAUAACUUGAUUUGCAAUCUUCCAAAGGAUUUGAGAAGGGACAUUAAGCGCCAUCUUUGCUUGGCUUUGCUGAUGAGAGUUUGCUGCCAAUGCACUUAGAUUGUUGUGCCAUAACCACACAAGGAAGACAAGGAUGCCGGAGAGAAUACCACCCAUGCUGCUUCAGAAGCCUGCGGAACCUGAUUUUACUGAUGAAGAGCAGUAAGCUUCUAUAUCUCGGUGAUCUUUUCGUAAAGAAACGAGGCUGAGUAGGAAAAAAAAUGAAAACUUAAAUACAGUUUAAAAUUAAUCUGGUAAUUCCAUCACUCAGGGCUGCCUGUUCUCGGUGCAAUGUUUAUCACAUUUUUCGUGGAAACAAAGCUUAUGUUCCACAUAGAGGAGGCCAGAAAAAGGUCACGUUGAAAUGAGACAAUUUCUCUCAUCAUAAUACUUGAUGCCAAUGACCAUAUUCAUGUUUACUGCCACAAGUUUCAAUCCUGAAACCAGAACAGCAUGGUUGGCUGCUUGGAGGUAUGCGAGUGGUGGUUCUUGACCAAACAAAUUCCCCAAUGGAUUGAACAUCGAAUUGGGAUCCAAUGCCUUCGAAUUUUGUACACUAGAUGGAAAAUCACAGUUGACUUAGGACAUGGGAAUUAGAACUUGAUCACAUCUCACUGCUUUGCUUUGGUCCUUUGUUUGGUUCGUUUUAGCUACUUGGACUAUGUUUUUUGCAAGUUGUGAUUAGUAAUUACUGUAAGCAGGUGCAAUAUUUUUGCAAAA